GUCACGCUGUAAACGAUGUCGAUUUGGAGUUUGGGGGCAUGACCCUUGGGCUCCGGAGCUAACGCGUUAAAUCGACCGCUGGGGAGUACGGCCGCAAGGUUAAAACUCAAAUGAAUUGACGGGGGCCCGCACAAGCGGUGGAGCAUGUGGUUUAAUUCGAUACAACGCGAAGAACCUUACCUGGUCUUGACAUCCAUAGAAUCUUUCAGAGAUGAGAGAGUGCCUUCGGGAGCUAUGAGACAGGUGCUGCAUGGCUGUCGUCAGCUCGUGUUGUGAAAUGUUGGGUUAAGUCCCGCAACGAGCGCAACCCCUAUCCUUUGUUGCCAGCACGUAAUGGUGGGAACUCAAAGGAGACUGCCGUUGAUAAAGCGGAGGAAGGUGGGGACGACGUCAAGUCAUCAUGGCCCCUACGACCAGGGCUACACACGUGCUACAAUGGCGUAUACAAAGGGAUGCGAAGGUGCGAACUGGAGCGGACCUCACAAAGUACGUCCAAGUCCGGAUUGGAGUCUGCAACUCGACUCCAUGAAGUCGGAAUCGCUAGUAAUCGUGAAUCAGAAUGUCACGGUGAAUACGUUCCCGGGCCUUGUACACACCGCCCGUCACACCAUGGGAGUGGGUUGCACCAGAAGUAGAUAGCUUAACCUUCGGGAGGGCGUUUACCACGGUGUGGUUCAUGACUGGGGUGAAGUCGUAACAAGGUAACCA
rnacentral:rRNA from 1 species